rnacentral:snRNA from 1 species
AUCGCUUCUCGGCCUUUUGGCUAAGACCAUAAAUAGUAUCUGUUCUUGUCAGCUUAAUAUCUGAUACGACCCUCACGGGGUCUUGGAUAUUAGUUGAAUUUUUGCAGUCCGGUGUUCGUGGGAGCUUGCUCCGCGAGCGCCACGGGUCGUCCUGACGUUGCACUGCAGUCAGGUACGGCCCAGUCCCC